UUUAUUUGAUUUCCUUCGGGACUGAUUAUUUUGUGACUGAGUGGCGGACGGGUGAGUAACGCGUGGGUAACCUGCCUUGUACAGGGGGAUAACAGUUGGAAACGGCUGCUAAUACCGCAUAAGCGCACGGCAUCGCAUGAUGCAGUGUGAAAAACUCCGGUGGUAUAAGAUGGACCCGCGUUGGAUUAGCUAGUUGGUGAGGUAACGGCCCACCAAGGCGACGAUCCAUAGCCGACCUGAGAGGGUGACCGGCCACAUUGGGACUGAGACACGGCCCAAACUCCUACGGGAGGCAGCAGUGGGGAAUAUUGCACAAUGGGCGAAAGCCUGAUGCAGCGACGCCGCGUGAGCGAAGAAGUAUUUCGGUAUGUAAAGCUCUAUCAGCAGGGAAGAUAAUGACGGUACCUGACUAAGAAGCACCGGCUAAAUACGUGCCAACAGCCGCGGUAAUACGUAUGGUGCAAGCGUUAUCCGGAUUUACUGGGUGUAAAGGGAGCGCAGGCGGUGCGGCAAGUCUGAUGUGAAAGCCCGGGGCUCAACCCCGGUACUGCAUUGGAAACUGUCGUACUAGAGUGUCGGAGGGGUAAGCGGAAUUCCUAGUGUAGCGGUGAAAUGCGUAGAUAUUAGGAGGAACACCAGUGGCGAAGGCGGCUUACUGGACGAUAACUGACGCUGAGGCUCGAAAGCGUGGGGAGCAAACAGGAUUAGAUACCCUGGUAGUCCAUUCCGUAAGCGAUGAAUUAUAGGUGGGGGGAAGC
rnacentral:rRNA from 2 species